rnacentral:sRNA from 1 species
CCCACCGAUGAAUCGGCGGGCUAUUUUCAGCCAUCCCUGUCGGGAUU